rnacentral:lncRNA from 1 species
UUCGCCAUCUCCAUUCACCUUUUAUCUUCGAGGCACCGGAUAACAACACUCCAUGUUUUACCCAUCAUCCCGAACAUUAAAAUUGCUUCCAUCUUCACUUUCCAAAAUUCCAAAUUGCUUUUGGAAAGUCCCUCGAUAUCCGACUUAGAAUCCAUGGUGCUCACUUCAAAUUGUUCCAAUUGCCCCACGGUGGGCGCCAAUU